UUGCUUGCUUUGGCAGCACAUAUACUAAAAUUGGAACGAUACAGAGCUUCGCAUGGCCCCUGUGCAAGGAUAACACGCAAAUUCGUGAAGUGUUCUAUAUUAAA
rnacentral:snRNA from 1 species